GGGGGAUGUGCUUCCCCGUACUUAGUGAUUUAGGAAUGUGAAAAGAGUGUGUCCAGGAGAAAGUGAUGAAAUUCACAAGAAAAACUCAAAAUCCAAAAGAAGGAGCAGAUUAGCUAGACCAAAUGAAUCAGUUGGUCAACAGGGAGAGACACUUAUCUAGUCAACGUCAACGAUUCAGAAUAUGGCUGAGGACCAGGCAGGAAGCCAAAAGAGAUGUCCCAGAGUCCAUGUACUUUCCUGAUAGAAGAACCCUUCAGGCCCUGUACCCUGUACAGAGCCUUUUAUUCUGACUCUGGAUGCAAGUGUAACAAGAGCAGCAGGACAUGGGAGCAAUGACAUGGAAGGUCAGCUAGACCGAAAGCAUGGAUUUUCACCAUAAUCAUCAACAGCAGCAACAACACGACCCCUCCUACAUGUAUAUAGAGAGCUUUCCAGUUUACAAAGAACUUUCAUGUAUAUUUAAUCACUGCAACAACAGGUCUCUUUUCUGUUCGCCAAACAGGAUGGUUUCCUAUCUCCACGCAUUUGCUCACAAAGUUACCCCCCGUCUGGUGUGCCCUUUCCUAUCUCAUCUUACUUGAUUCU